rnacentral:piRNA from 1 species
UAAUAGAAACAAUUCUUGCUUCCUUCCU